rnacentral:rRNA from 1 species
UACGUAGGGCGCGAGCGUUGUCCGGAUUUAUUGGGCGUAAAGAGCUCGUAGGCGGCUUGUCGCGUCGUCUGUGAAAUCCCGCGGCUCAACCGCGGGUCUGCAGUCGAUACGGGCAGGCUAGAGUUCGGUAGGGGAGACUGGAAUUCCUGGUGUAGCGGUGAAAUGCGCAGAUAUCAGGAGGAACACCGGUGGCGAAGGCGGGUCUCUGGGCCGAUACUGACGCUGAGGAGCGAAAGCGUGGGGAGCGAACAGG